UCCGGAAUAGCUCAAUGGCAGAGCACUUGGCUCUUACCUGAGUGGGCGCUGGUUCGAUUCCAGCUUCCGGACCCA
rnacentral:tRNA from 1 species